rnacentral:rRNA from 1 species
UACAGAGGGGGCAAGCGUUAUUCGGAAUUAUUGGGCGUAAAGGGCGGCGUAGGCGGCUUUGCAAGUGACGGGUGAAAUCCCUCGGCUUAACCGAGGAACUGCCUGUCAAACUGCAUGGCUUGAGACCGGGAGAGGUGAGUGGAAUUCCCAGUGUAGCGGUGAAAUGCGUAGAUAUUGGGAGGAACACCAGUGGCGAAGGCGGCUCACUGGACCGGUACUGACGCUGAUGCGCGAAAGCGUGGGGAGCAAACAGG